AUAGGUAACAAACACCCUGGAGAGCGGGAAUAGUUGCCUACUCAAAAAGACACUUUUCGAUCGCUCUAUAAGCCUCGAUUGAACCGAUUAACUCUAAUUUUCAUUUUAUGUUGCAGGGAGGCAAGUCGUUAAAAUAAUUGAUGCGUUAAAGGUUGAUCAACCCUCUCUUUACUUCUUUGCAUUCCUAUCCACCUCCCUGUGGGUCUUCACACGGAAUUUUAUUCUUCCAUUACGCAUCAUACCAUGUGUUUACUAUCAUGCACCAUUUUCCAUACCGGAAACAUUUCCUCUCUCGUGCUUGCAUGGGCCGUGUGACAUCAGCUCCUUCAGGUUUAAUAUGUGCCACAUCAUUUUGAUUAUACUGGGAGGCAUGAGCAUCCUGCAUCUUUAUUGGACCUACAUCAUCUUGAAAAUCAAUUAUACAGCAUUUUUCGCUGGAAAAUUAAAAGAUGACACACACGCGGUGUCGGAUGAUGACGAAGACGACACGGCAAAGAGAGUCACUCCUAAAUAAGAGAGCUGGCCCAUCAGAACUGGCGGCUGAAUGGAUUACGUCAUAUGAUGCGGAUUUGUUUUCAGUCGGAUGACUGAAAAAAUUUAACCGAACAUCAGGCUAUUAACUGUAUUAUAUUUAUCAUGAGGUAUUUGCCGCAAGCUCUACACCCCACCCUCAUGUCAACGCUUUCCUAUGAUCUGGAAAAAUGGCGCCCGAGUGCAUUUAUUUUAUUAAAGCGAUGAUAUGGGGGAUUAAGCGCGAUCUAUAAUUCUGAUGCCUAAAGCAGUGGUGAGGCGUGGAUGAUUGAUUGUCGAUAUCUCUCCAUUUGAAGCUGUGGUAAAGAAUCGAUUAUUAAGGUGUUCGUUGCAAACAUCCUGUUUAUCGAUCCUUUCCCGUGGGUUCAAAUGACCGAUCAAUCGAUAUAUCGCAAAUUACGGCAAGUCACGGGCCUAAAGGUUUUAUGAAAAUGUAAUAAGUUGAAGGAUGUCUCUCCAGCAAUCGGAAUAACUUUAUAACGGCAAGUAUAAAAGUGAGUAAAGAAAAAAAAAUCCGAAGUGAUAAAAUAGAAUAGAUUGCUGGUGUAUACGUGAUAAUAAGAAUUCGAGAAUAUAUCCAGUGUGAUGCACUAUGCAUGAGAAUUACCGCAGAACCGCAGGCUGACAACCAAAAUUUGUAAACUGUAAAUCUCUCUAUGAAGCUUGUUAAAGCGGGUUACAAAUCGACGGUGAAACUACCAGACCACGUGUCUCGUUUGCGGUGUUUAAAAUAAAAAUGUCCGCUCACAUUUAAUUUUAUGAAGGAGACCAGAUCAAUAUCAUUCCUUGAAAUUUCCGCAGAGUUUUCGCCGCACCAAGAGGAAAAAUCACGGCGGUUCUUAAGAACUAAAGUUGGAUAGUUUUCCCUUUAAAAAUAAAGUAUGACAAGAAGUCUGCAAUGUCGCAAACCGAGAUCCGUGGUCUGGUAGUUUCACUGUCGAAAUAGUUUUUCCGAUUUUCCUUCACGUGUAAAAAUCCAAGCUAAGCAUGGACCCAUUCCUUCCUGUUUUUCUCUUGAAAAUGUGCACUAAUUUUUCAUUGAAAUAAUGUUGUUCUGUUAAAAUGGAAAAAAUGUAAUUCCCUGUUUAUUUCCUCGAUCGUAUGUUGUAUAUGUGUGUAAAGAUAAAUCGUCAAAAAUAUGUGUCGUUCUUUUCACCCUAGUCCUGCUUUAUUACUUAAUGCAAAGUUAAUUCAAAAGAAAGUUAUUUUAAGUAUAUUUUUCAAAUUUUAGCCCAUACCAACGCCUCUCCUUUUAAUCGGUAGCGUCAGUUGCGUUAUUGAAUUUAAAAUCAAUCCCGUGCGUUAAAGUAGUGGUAACAUUGGUUGACUCAAUGACGUUAUCGAUGCUUUUCGGGAAGAGAAUGGUGGCUUCCACUAUGUGCCUUAUUGAUUUUGGCGCCAAUCAAGAAUGUCUCUCUCAGUAUAUUUUGCAAACGCAUACGUGAGAAUCUAAAACCUCCUGAGAAAUGGAAAUCAUUUUGUAUUUUGCGUCAAGACCGUCGAUAACCGCAAAGCGCACAUUUCAUUGUACAUACUUCUAGAUAGAAGAUCCGAAGUUCACAGUUACUAUACUCAGGAUCACUUAUCUCGAGGAUUUUCAUUUACAUUAUAGCAGUUACUUGUAAUCUAGUUACUAAGUCAGAUCGAGAGUUCUCGAUUUUAAAUUACUUCUGAAAGCGUGCACGAAAUAUUCAUUUCUGAACACAGAUCGUUCUAGCGCUCUACCUGGCCGUUUCAUUAUUUUUGCCGCUGUUGACAAGUUGAGCCCCCUCUGUUCAGAUUUUAGAACAUUAAUCCACGCGGACCCUAGAGGGCGCGAAGCUUCUUCGAGGACUUGGACCGCGUAUCCCUGUGGUAUAUAACUGAGCAGUCCUGUGCCAUUACCAUAUGCUUUACUCUCCGUAUGUAUUCUUUAACCUCCACAGGUUACGUAAGUAACCUACCCGUGGAGGGUGGAGAAGGUGACUCCUAUUUCAUACCCGUGCGUUGAAGUCACUGGAAGUUGUCGUCGCAUCAGUAAUGACUAAAUUGACGUCACUGAAAAUCAAAUUUUUGUCACGCCGCGCGUUUUAAAAAAAGAAUGAAGUAAAUACGCUGCGGCUAUAAAUACUUAGACAAGAAUUAUUAGGAGGAUAAGGUAAAACCUGAAACAAUCUAAAUUAAUAAACAAAACAAAUUAUAAAUAAUAGAUCGGGCACCUUAAAAGCAGCACCGAUUCGAGCCGCAAACACACGCAUGACUUGAAUUAUUUUACAAAAAAUCUGUUUAAAACAACAACUUCGAACUGUAGCGUUAUUCCUUGUUCGAUAAUUCCUACAGCAGCAUAGUCAUAUGAUUUUUUAUGUGUAUAGGAAAUUCUCCUUUACCUCCUUUCGAUCUACAUCAUGGGCAAAUUUUUUUCAUUUAAAUCAAUAAAACUGAUCAAGAACUGUAAUAAUAAUUCUAAUAAUAUUCAUAUUUUCAAGCUCACUAUAUAGAAUUUUUAUAUUUUAUACUGUAAAUCACGGAAUUUUGAAAAAAUCAAAUAAAAAAAUUAGAAAUUUCA
rnacentral:lncRNA from 1 species